rnacentral:rRNA from 1 species
AACGAACGCUGGCGGCAUGCCUAACACAUGCAAGUCGAACGAGACCUUCGGGUCUAGUGGCGCACGGGUGCGUAACGCGUGGGAACCUGCCCUUAGGUUCGGAAUAACUCCCCGAAAGGGGUGCUAAUACCGGAUAAUGUCUUCGGACCAAAGAUUUAUCGCCUUUGGAUGGGCCCGCGUUGGUUUAGCUAGUUGGUAGUGUAAAAGCCUACCAAGGCGACGAUCCAUAGCUGGUCUGAGAGGAUGAUCAGCCACACUGGGACUGAGACACGGCCCAGACUGGUACGGGAGGCAGCAGUGGGGAAUAUUGGACGCGGAGCGAAAGUGUGAUACAGCAACGCCGCGUGAGUGAUGAAGGCCGUAGGAUUGUAAAGCUCUUUUAGCCGGGACGAUAAUGACAGUACCGGGAGAAUAAGCACCGGCUAACUACGUG